UUUUUGACGUUCACCUAUUUUUACAUUGUUGUAUGUUGUGCGCUGUCGUGGACUUAAAUGGCGAUGACUGCUCUUGUAGGUGGGGUAGUGACAGAUCAAUUGAUUCAUCGUCCUCCCCCGCCCCUCGGGCAAACCAUUCCCACUUCUCAGCUACCCGGUCCACUCUCUUUACCAAACGGAAGUAUUCCGGCUCAUAUACAUACAGGAGUCGGACCCGGGUCCGGAAUAUCUUUUAAGAAUCAUGACACAGUGAAACUUUUUGUGGGACAAAUACCACGCACGCUAGAGGAGAAAGAAUUACGGCCUAUAUUUGAGGAGUUUGGACAAAUCUAUGAGUUGACAGUGCUUAAGGACCGGUUUACUGGUAUGCAUAAAGGAUGUGCCUUUCUAACUUACUGUCACAAAGAGAGCGCCCUCAAAGCCCAGCAAGCUUUACACGAACAGAAAACCUUACCGGGGAUGAAUCGCCCAAUCCAGGUCAAACCUGCUGACAGUGAAAACAGAGCGGAAGACAGAAAACUUUUUGUGGGCAUGCUCAACAAGCAACAAUCAGAAGAUGACGUCAGACAGUUGUUCCAACCAUUCGGAAAUAUAGAGGAAUGUACAAUACUAAGGGACCAAAACGGAAACAGCAAAGGUUGUGCUUUUGUUAAAUACUCCGGCCACAAUGAGGCGCAGUCGGCCAUCAAUGCUUUACAUGGAAGUCAAACAAUGCCGGGUGCGUCUUCUAGUCUAGUCGUGAAGUUUGCGGACACUGAAAAAGAACGACAACUCCGCAGAAUGCAGCAGAUGGCUGGUCCACUGGGGCUGCUAAAUCCCUUCGCCAUUUCUCAGAUUGGUGCAUAUGGAGCUUAUGCUCAGCAACAAGCGGCUUUGAUGGCAGCUGCUGCGACCCAGGGAACUUACUUGACGAGUCCCGUCACUACAUUGGCUCACAUUCCACAAGUUGGCGCCUUAGCCACGCCCAACGGCAUCACAACAGGCGCGCUAACGCCUACCACAGCCACAUUAGCCAACGGUACUACUGGUAUAAACGGAGCGCCCCCUAGUGUGUUGUCCCCGACUGCGUUGGCUGGUUUUCAGAUUCCUCAACAUAAUGGCCAGACACCGGAAAUCUACGCCGCUAACGGCAUCCCCCACUAUUCCGGCGAAUGCCAAGUCGUGGAACUAGCGCAAGCUGUUACAAACGGAGAUCCAUUACAAGCGUACGCUAGCAUGCAGCCAUAUGCCGGGAUAGCCUACCCAGCAUACGGGGUACAGCAAGCGUUGUCUCAACAUACUACGAUCUUACCGGCCCAGAAAGAAGUUGUCUUUACAGGCCCAGAGGGCUGCAAUCUUUUCAUCUAUCACCUACCACAAGAAUUCGGAGACGCCGAGCUUGCGCAGAUGUUCAUGCCGUUCGGAACAGUUAUAAGUGCUAAGGUGUACGUGGACAGGGCAACUAAUCAGAGCAAGUGCUUUGGCUUUGUCAGUUUUGACAAUCCUACCAGCGCUCAGGCGGCCAUCCAGGCCAUGAAUGGCUUCCAGAUUGGGAUGAAGCGCCUUAAAGUUCAGCUAAAGCGCCCGAAAGAUCAGAAUAGGCCAUACUAAAGCAACCAGUGCUCCACUUAUAUAGCUCAGGGACAGCAACUCCUGCUUUGUUUCAAACAAAGAGAGAUAACUCUGAUUCAACUAGAAGAAACAGAGUUUGAAAUACCAACAGAGACCAAGGGACGUAACUCUGAUGAAACAGGGUAUCAAAGGGAGACCACCCUUACAUACAUGUCUGUAAAUAAAAUUCGCAUAAAAUUUUAUUUUCUUAAAAAGAACGUUUUCCCACCGUUUUGUAAAUAAAUAGAUGUUGUUUGGAAGGACUUACAAAUAUUGGCGAGAGGAGAGUCAUAUACAAUGUAUAGAGGACUUCAAACGAUAUCCCCCACCUUGCUUACUUAUGAUAUUUUAUUAUAAAAUAUUAGUUUAGUUACAUUGAAAUGUUUAUUAUAUAUAUUACAUGUUAUAUAUUUAUUAUAUUUAAAAACAAUGUAUUAUAUUUGCCCCCAUAUAAAACAACCAGCUCGUUUUGGUGGAUUUUAUUUCGCUGGUUAACAUUCCAUUUUAUAAGAAUAAAUGACUCCACAAGAUGCCAUUGAUGUAAUUUUGACAGCAUUUAAGUGACAUUUUAUGUGUUAAAGGUGUAAUUUUUACAACAGAAUAUUUUCAAAUCAAAUUUUUGUAUAUUAUCAUAUAUUAUAUACGUAUCACUUCAUAUUAACUGGAGGCGGCCGCUCAUUGGAUGUUGUGUUUGGUUGCCAUGGACACCCUAGUUGUUGUCGGGUAAUUAUUGUAUUCACGGUAGUGAUGUCAUAGAAUCAACAGUUAAUUCUUAAAUUUUUUUGUGUAAUCCUAGUGACAAAUUAAAUGUUGUUUUUAUUUUUAAGAUCAGUGUGAAUUGUAUUUAAGUAAGUACCAUUUUUUUUCUUUUGGUUGUUUUAUAUGGAGGAGGUAUGGGCAUUGUUAACUUGUAUAUAAAUUUGAACAAAAUGCAUUCCUGAUCAUUAUUUACAUCCAAUAUCCUGUCAUUGUAUCAUGUUGUGCCCUGGUAAGCCUCGUUUUCACACCGGGCAGGGAUCAAAGUUCACAUUGUUGUUCACCGUCAAAUGAAAUACCUUGUUACUUAAUCUAAGACUGGAUCGGCUUGGAUGUUAUUUUUAGAUUUGUUGAUUGGCACCUGUUUUUAUCAAUGGACAGAUAGUUUGUUACUUAUUACUGAUACAAAAGUCGUAUUUAUUUAUUUAUUUAUAUUUAUUUGUUUAAAUAUCAUCGGACAUUUUGUAAAUAGCUAGUUUAGAUUCAUCAGGAAUCGCACGGAAAUUCCCUCGAGAUAAUAUAAAUUAUCUAUAUAUGUGUUCCCUCUGCGUAACAUGACAUAUUUUGUUUUUUUGUUGAUUAUUUAUGGCUGUAUAGUCACAAAAAGUCUGUAGAUAGAUUUUAACAGGCAGAUUACAGCAAUUGGUUGUAUAUUUAGUUGGGUUGUAUAUUGUCUCAAAAGAUCACAAAUGGUGAGUUUUAAUGUUAUUUUUAAUGAUAUAAAAAUCCCAAGAAAGUGCAAUAUUUUGAUGUAUUAUAGAUGGAAUUUCUAGUCAGUCAUUGUUUAUCACCUGAGAUAGGCUUGUGUUUGGUUGAUUUUGUUUGGUCUGUCUAUUUAAGACUUGUGAGUGAGUAUACUUAAGUCAAUUAUCUCAUCACAUCUCGGGUGAGCAAUGCAGUUUUGAUUUUUUUUUUUUUUACUAUUGGUGCAAUCUUGUUAAUAUGGGGGAAAAUUAACAUUUAACUCGUGAAAUUAUUGCAUAAUUGUGACACUUUUGUCUCGUUUAUUUUUGCAAAUGUAAUUGGAGGACCUAAAAAUCUCAGUGAACGUGACGGUAGAGACACCCCUCGUGUCCAGAGCAAUUAGCUCCGGGUAUUUGAGUUCUCCUUAAGGGUGUCUCGCCUCCUUCACCAUUGUACACUAUUUUUGUUUGAUUAGAUCAGCUCUUCUACUUUCUUUAUCUCCAGUAGAUUUUUUUUCUUUCUAUGUUAUGUACACAUUUGUUUUUAAGCUACUAUUUGAUAUUGACCAGAAGUGGAAUAUCUUUUUUAUGAAGGAUUUAUUCCUUUAUUUAUUAGUUAAUUUGAUUUUUUGUAGCUAACUGAGCAUUCAGAAUUAUCAUGACCUAGCAUGGUUCAUUAGUCACUUAGUUAGACAUCAUACUUAGCUAAACAUGUAAAAAGAAGCGAUACAAUAAAAUAUUGAAUCACAUUA